GUGCUCUCUUCAGCAGCACAUAUACUAAAAUUGGAAUGAUACAGAGGUUAGUAUGACCCCUGUGCAAGAAUGACACACAAAUUCAUGAAGCAUUUCAUAUAAAG
ensembl:snRNA RNU6-1088P RNA, U6 small nuclear 1088, pseudogene